rnacentral:rRNA from 1 species
CCUACGGGUGGCAGCAGUGGGGAAUAUUGCACAAUGGGGGAAACCCUGAUGCAGCAACGCCGCGUGAGCGAAGAAGGCCUUCGGGUCGUAAAGCUCUGUCCUAAGGGAAGAAGCAUGACGGUACCUUAGGAGGAAGCCCCGGCUAACUACGUGCCAGCAGCCGCGGUAAUACGUAUGGGGCGAGCGUUAUCCGGAAUCACUGGGCGUAAAGGGUGCGUAGGCGGCCGAUUAAGCGAGGGGUGAAAGGCUACGGCUCCACCGUAGUAAGUCAAUGGAACUGAUUGGAUUGAGCGCAGGAGAGGAGAGUAGAAUUACUGGUGUAGCAGUGAAAUGCGUAGAGAUCAGGAGGAACACCAGUGGCGAAGGAGACUCCCUGGACUGUAACUGGCGCUGAGGCACGAAAGCGUGGGGGGCAAACAGGAUUAGAUACCCGAGUAGUC